GGGAUUGCCCCAGUAACGGCGAGUGAAGCGGCAAGAGCUCAAAUUUGAAAGCUGGCUCCUUCGGGGUCCGCAUUGUAAUUUGCAGAGGAUGCUUCGGGAGCGGUCCCCAUCUAAGUGCCCUGGAACGGGACGUCAUAGAGGGUGAGAAUCCCGUAUGGGAUGGGGUGUCCGCGCCCGUGUGAAGCUCCUUCGACGAGUCGAGUUGUUUGGGAAUGCAGCUCUAAAUGGGUGGUAAAUUUCAUCUAAAGCUAAAUAUUGGCCGGAGACCGAUAGCGCACAAGUAGAGUGAUCGAAAGAUGAAAAGCACUUUGAAAAGAGAGUUAAAAAGCACGUGAAAUUGUUGAAAGGGAAGCGCUUGCGACCAGACUCGCUCGCGGGGUUCAGCCGGCAUUCGUGCCGGUGUACUUCCCCGCGGGCGGGCCAGCGUCGGUUUGGGUGGUCGGUCAAAGGCCCUCGGAAGGUAACGCCCCCUCGGGGGCGUCUUAUAGCCGAGGGUGCAAUGCGACCUACCCGGACCGAGGAACGCGCUUCGGCUCGGACGCUGGCAUAAUGGUCGUAAGCGACC
rnacentral:rRNA from 1 species